UUUUAUUAUCUUUCUAAACAAUCAACAAUUAGAAAUCAAAACUAUAAUUAAUAUCACAAAAACGAAUUAAAGUAUUUAAAACAACAAGAAUUAAAAUCAAGAAAAUAGAAAAAAUAAUAAAUGAAAGGAUUUGGGACAGGGGGGUCAUAUCUGGAAAAUGGUGCAGGAAGUAAAUCCCGGGCGCAUGGGAUUUGGGUGACCAAAGGCCCAAUGAAUCUAUAGUCAUGGCAUGGGGUGUAGUGAGUAUUUAGGGAUGAUGGCAAGGAAUUCAAGGCUGUGCCCAUGUACAUGAGGCCCAACAAUCACAAUGCAAACAGUUUAGCACAUGUGACUUCAGCAAGUUAUUGGCACGUGGGAUAAUUGAACUCAAACUGAAUUUGAAUUGAACGGAAAACAUGCGCCAGCUCAAACAAUCAUCUUAGGUCAUACUCCGAUGAACCUCACCAUGGUCCACCGCGCCGGAAAUUGCCUCCGGCAGCGGUGGCCAUCCAAAAUGAAAAUUGGAUACACUGUUCCCCUCAUCUUGACCCUCUCGUCUAAAAAAUGCCAUCAAUUUCACCAGAGUUUGAGUCUAUAACCUUAACCGCAACGAAAUCACCAAGAACCCUAAUACUUCAAUCUUAAAUUAAAUUCCCUCUUUGAAGAUUCAAAGCCCAUGGGAUUGGGGCUUUGAAUCCACUUUCAUUUCUCUACAUGCUAGAAACAAGAAAUUGAUGGAAUGAGGAAUUCUAUACUCAUCAUGCCGAAGACCUUGAAGCUGAUGUCGAUGAUGGAACUCCAUGUAGGUAUAUCUGAAUCUCUUCCUUGCUAGAAAUCCUCUCCUCCUUCUUUGUCAUUCUUUCUUCUUUUUGAUGUUUUUGUUGUGAAUGUCGACUAAGUGCUAUGAGGUUCUGAUCUUGAGGGAUUGAUGUAGUAUGAUGAAGACUUGAGGUUGAUUCGAGCUCAGUGCUCAAAUGAUUCAGAGGAUGAUGAAGGUGAAGGUGCCCCUUUGGAGAGAGUGAGUUGUGCAUUUGAGUGCAUGUUUAGGUGAUUGAAGAUGAAAGAGGGUUUGAAAUUCUGGUUCUAAGUGAGGUAAAGUGGUGAGAGUUCAGAUGAAAUGUCUAAUGAUUGGAGAGAGUUCUUGUGAUUAUGUUAUUGGUGAUGAUUGUGGAUUAAAAAAGAAGAUGAGGAUCGAGAGUGAGAAAAUGGUAGAGAGUUUGAAUGAUCAAUCAUUGGCCAACUCAAAAUGAGAUGAUUGGACCCAUUUAUAGGUGGUUAGGGCUUUGGAGUUUGUGAAAUUCGGUUAUGGAAUUGUGUUAGGAGUUGGUUAGAGUUUGUUAUAGAGUGAGUGAAAUCAGUUAGCAAAUUCAGUUAGAGUUGUAACUAACUUUUUAUGCAAUUCGAGGCUAAUUAGUUUUCUGUUAGUUGUAACUACUUCUCGAGUUAGGUUAGUUAUCAUUGAGUGUGGGUUAGUUGAUGUGGUAGGUUAAUUGUUCAAUUGAUGUGCUUUGUGAACUGUAUUAUUUAAACUGCUGCUACCUGGUGCAUUGCUGCAAACUUAUUAUUUUUUAUUUGGUGUGUAUGCCAUAUGCUAGCUUAUGGUUAUGUUUGGAAUGCUUAUGUUAUGAAUACCAUUGUUUGAUACGCCCUUCAUGAUUGGUGCAUGAUGUUUAUGGUGGAUGCAUUGAAUACUUGUGUAUGAUUUCUUUGAAUGAUUUACAAUACUUGACAUGAGCUAAUGCAUUGUUGUGAUUUCCCUGCAGGUGAGGUUAGGAUGCAUGGUUUGCUUGGUCCUGAUGUUGCAGGGUUGGUGAUGCAAUAGGUAAGGUGUUUUUGGCUUGGCAUUUGUUGCAGGCCUUGUGUAUGGUUCAUGUUGCAGGUAUGCAUUAGCUGGUAGGAUUGCAUUUGCUGCAAGUAGAUUGUAUGCACAAUUAGCAUGGCUUCGUUGGUGAUAUUAUGUUAUGUGAUUAGUUAACUUUGGUUUUGUUGCAAUGCUUUGAUGUUGAACUAUUGUAUAUGGAUUGUGGUUAUGCCAUUGCAGGUUUUGUAUGGUUGGCUAUAAGUGUGGCAUAUUAUUGAUUGCACUGCAAGAGGCUUGUAUUAACUGCUAUGCUUUUGAGCAUGUUUCAUAAUUAUUUAUGGAGUUGUGGUUCAUUGCAGAACUUGGCCUUAAUGCAUUACCAAGGCAGGUCCAGGAUUUAUAAAGGUAUUGUAUUUAAUGGUUUUUGUUUCAAUACUUGCAGGACUGACUUAGGUGAUUGUAACGUGAAUUAUGACUGCAACAAGUAUGCAUUAUUUCUGAUGUUGUAUUCUAGAAGACCUGGAUGUGGUGGAAGUGUUGCAGUAGGUAUGAUCCCAUUCCUAGCCUAGCCUUGCAAUUUCAUGGUACUUCAUAUUUCACCAUGUUCUGAUAUUGUGGCAUGAUUUGUGGCAAGGUUCUACAGAAUUGUGGAUUAUAGUCUUGUUAUGCAUUGCAGAAUUAGGGCAUGUUGCAUUGAUGCUUGGCACGACUUGGUUUUUGUUGUAACAUGAUUAACAUGGCCUACUGACUGAUGGCUUGCUUAUGCCCUACAGGUUUUCUUGCAAGAUGAAGUGUUUGGCCCAAUUCAGAAUGGUAUUGACUUAUGGUUCAUGCAGGUCAUUUGAAUGUGUAUGGUUUUGCACUUGGUGUUGGUGGGACAUGGCAUGCACCAAGUGGCUUGCAAAGUGAAUGACACAAGUUUGAAUUUGGAGUAAAAGGCCAAUUCAAGGACCAAGGAUCAAAAUUGGCAUUUGGAUUAGAAUUAGGAUGUGAUUUAAGGUUUUUUAGGAUUGGGUUGACUUUGAUCAAAGUUGACCAAAAAGUCAAUGUUGACAAAAGUCACACAUUUGGUUAAAACUUCAUUUUUUUUGUUUUUCCUCAUGUAAUGGAUAUUUAUAUGAUUAUGUAAUGAAUGAAAUUGAUAUAUUUUGAAUAAAUUGGAUUGGUUCUGGAAUGUAUGUUUGAAUGGAAUUGAUUGAUUUUGAAA
rnacentral:lncRNA from 1 species